UUUAAGCCAUGCGAGUCGAGAGGUGCAAGACCUCGGCAUACUGCUCAGUAACACGUGGACAACCUACCCUAUGGAGGGGGAUAACCCCGGGAAACUGGGGAUAAUACCCCAUAGACUAUGAAUGCUGGAAUGCUUUGUAGUUGAAAGGUCCGCCGCCAUAGGAUGGGUCUGCGGCCGAUUAGGUUGUUGUUGGGGUAACGGCCCAACAAGCCUGUAAUCGGUACGGGUUGUGGGAGCAAGAGCCCGGAGAUGGAUUCUGAGACACGAAUCCAGGCCCUACGGGGCGCAGCAGGCGCGAAAACUUUACAAUGCGGGAAACCGUGAUAAGGGAACUCCGAGUGCCCGUAAAAUCGGGCUGUCCAUCUGUUUAAAUAACAGGUGAAGAAAGGGCCGGGCAAGACCGGUGCCAGCCGCCGCGGUAAUACCGGCGGCUCGAGUGGUGGCCACUAUUACUGGGCUUAAAGCGUUCGUAGCUGGUCUGUUAAGUCUCUGGGGAAAUCUACUGGCUUAACCAAUAGGCGUCUCAGGGAUACUGGCAGACUAGGGACCGGGAGAGGUGAGAGGUACUCCAGGGGUAGGAGUGAAAUCCUGUAAUCCUUGGGGGACCACCUGUGGCGAAGGCGUCUCACCAGAACGGCUCCGACAGUGAGGGACGAAAGCUGGGGGAGCAAACCGGAUUAGAUACCCGGGUAGUCCCAGCUGUAAACGAUGCGCGUUAGGUGUAUCGGUGACCACGAGUCAUCGAGGUGCCGAAGAGAAAUCGUGAAACGUGCCGCCUGGGAAGUACGGUCGCAAGGCUGAAACUUAAAGGAAUUGGCAGGGGAGCACCACAACAGGUGGAGCCUGCGGUUUAAUCGGACUCAACGCCGGAAAUCUCACCGGAUAAGACAGCUGGAUGAUAGUCGGGCUGAAGACUCUACUUGACUAGCUGAGAGGAGGUGCAUGGMC
rnacentral:rRNA from 1 species